CCUACCUACUAGCUCUGGGGAAUUUUCCAAAUCAAUACAACUAUCAGUUCAGCAGUCAUCAGACAUCCAUGUUAAAAGUUAUUUGCUAGAUUAAUACCAGCCAUAUGACUUUACAGUAUACAAUCUUUGCCAGCGAGAUGAGGUGGGUCCAGGUGGACAGACUCCAGAAAUGACUUCAGCAUUGGAAACACCAUCUAACUUUUCCAGCCAGUUGGCAGAGGGAGAGAGAGAGAGAAAUUGUUAUCAUAGAGUGCCAACCCAUGAAGCGGCAGAAAAUUACUAUCACCAGAGCCC